GUAGAAAAUCUGGCAUUGAAUAUUGGACGAUGAUCAGAAAAACGGAGAACUUUGUUGAGGUGACUGGUGAGCCAACUCUUUUAAAUGUUGCGCGGGGAUUCGUUUGAAAAUGAGAAUGAGGAAAAAGGCUGGAAAAAAUAAAAAGAAAGAGAAAGAAAAGCCCCAGAAAACGUAUAAAAAGAGCCUCUUGACCCGCAAUUAGCAAAUUGCUGCGUUAAUUUAGGUUCCCUUAAAAUUAAAGGGUUAAAAAGAGGAAAAAUAAUUGUUUUAUUCACAGCCAACCUUUAUUUUCUCUUUACUAGUGUUUCCCGGGAAAACAACAGCGAGAACCAAGACCCCAUAUAAACUAUAUUCGUUUAUCUAAAGUGUAUAGAAAGAGGAAGAAGGUAUCAAAAAGAAAGAUGCUGGUUUUCUAUUUGAUCUCGUUGCCUUUAACAUUGGGGAUGGUGAUUCUCACUUUGAGAUAUUUCGCGGGCCCUUCUGUUCCCAUUUACGUCUUUCUAACCGUUGGAUAUACUUGGUUUUGUUCUUUCUCGGUCAUCAUCCUUGUCCCCGCUUAUAUUUGGACGGUGAUUUCCUUGGACUACCUAAUUCUUUCUUUUUUUCUUCUCUUCUCUUUAUUGAUUCAGAUUUCCUAUUUAAGCUUUGCUUAUUUAUUGCCUGCAAAUUAUGCAUGCAUAUUAGAUUGCUUGCUUUUCUUUUCUUUUUGCUUUCUUCAUCUGGCAGACAAUGGUGGGCCAUUCCAGCAGUGAGAUAUCUUUAUUCUGGAGCUUGAGUUAUUGGAUUACAUUUCUGCUAACAUGGGUUAUUAAGAUGCUGGAGAUUUCACUUUGGCAGAAAGAUUGAAGACUAGCAUACAUGCAAACUUAGUCUUCUACCUCUGCGUUGGUUUGCUUGGACUUGUCGAUUUUCUGCAGAAAUUGGAGUGGAGGCAUUAUUGGUUUUGCAAUGGCUUGCUCCAAUACUUUUGGGCUUGUUACUGGUGCCUUUCUUCUUGGUUUUGGUCUUAGUGAAAUCCCAAAGGGCAUUUGGAAGAAUGCAGAUUGGACUACCCGCCAAAAGCUUCUCUCGGGCAAAGUUGCUAAAAUGGCUGUUAAACUUGAUGGCGCUCAUCAAGAAUCGUCAAAUGCUA